rnacentral:rRNA from 1 species
AGUCAGAGGCGAUGAAGGGCGUGCUAAUCUGCGAUAAGCGCCGGUAAGGUGAUAUGAACCGUUAUAACCGGCGAUACCCGAAUGGGGAAACCCAGUGUGACUCGUCACACUAUCAUUAACUGAAUCCAUAGGUUAAUGAGGCGAACCGGGGGAACUGAAACAUCUAAGUACCCCGAGGAAAAGAAAUCAACCGAGAUUCCCCCAGUAGCGGCGAGCGAACGGGGAGGAGCCCAGAGCCUGAAUCAGCAUGUGUGUUAGUGGAAGCGUCUGGAAAGGCGCGCGAUACAGGGUGACAGCCCCGUACACAAAAGCGCAUGUGCUGUGAGCUCGAUGAGUAGGGCGGGACACGUGGUAUCCUGUCUGAAUAUGGGGGGACCAUCCUCCAAGGCUAAAUACUCCUGACUGACCGAUAGUGAACCAGUACCGUGAGGGAAAGGCGAAAAGAACCCCGGCGAGGGGAGUGAAAAAGAACCUGAAACCGUGUACGUACAAGCAGUGGGAGCCCCACCACCAAAGCAUUUGCUGUACCGCGUUGACGGAGCGAAGCGACGUCAAACCGAUAAAACAGCAGUGUAAAGUGAGCCGCAGGGCGCUUUGCGCGACAGCGCAAAGGCAGGCGGUUUCGCGUAGCGAAAGCGAAUGCUUUGGGGUGGGGUGACUGCGUACCUUUUGUAUAAUGGGUCAGCGACUUAUAUUCUGUAGCAAGGUUAACCGAAUAGGGGAGCCGGAGGGAAACCGAGUCUUAAUUGGGCGUUAAGUUGCAGGGUAUAGACCCGAAACCCGGUGAUCUAGCCAUGGGCAGGUUGAAGGUUGGGUAACACUAACUGGAGGACCGAACCGACUAAUGUUGAAAAAUUAGCGGAUGACCUGUGGCUGGGGGUGAAAGGCCAAUCAAACCGGGAGAUAGCUGGUUCUCCCCGAAAGCUAUUUAGGUAGCGCCUCGUGAAUUCAUCUCCGGGGGUAGAGCACUGUUUCGGCUAGGGGGCCAUCCCGGCUUACCAACCCGAUGCAAACUGCGAAUACCGGAGAAUGUUAUCACGGGAGACACACGGCGGGUGCUAACGUCCGUCGUGAAGAGGGAAACAACCCAGACCGCCAGCUAAGGUCCCAAAGUCAUGGUUAAGUGGGAAACGAUGUGGGAAGGCCCAGACAGCCAGGAUGUUGGCUUAGAAGCAGCCAUCAUUUAAAGAAAGCGUAAUAGCUCACUGGUCGAGUCGGCCUGCGCGGAAGAUGUAACGGGGCUAAACCAUGCACCGAAGCUGCGGCAGCGACACUGUGUGUUGUUGGGUA